rnacentral:rRNA from 1 species
UACGUAGGCAGCGAGCGUUGUUCGGAGUUACUGGGCGUAAAGGGUGUGUAGGCGGUCCUCUAAGUUUGGUGUGAAAUCUCCCGGCUCAACCGGGAGGGUGCGCCGAAAACUGGAGGGCUAGAGUGCGGGAAGGGAGAGUGGAAUUCCUGGUGUAGCGGUGAAAUGCGUAGAUAUCAGGAGGAACACCGGUGGCGAAGGCGGCGACCUGGGUAGAUACUGACGCUGAGGUGCGAAAGCGUGGGGAGCAAACAGG